rnacentral:piRNA from 1 species
CUGGCUUUCCCCGAAUAAAGCCUCAUGUGGUUUGCAAC